GCGAAAACGAAAUUCUUGAUGCUGAAACUGGUUCAGCAAGCAAGAGGCUAUGUAGUACUAAGACUUAAAAGUGCAAAAAUCAUCAUUUAACAGGGGGUUUCACCUUUUCUUGGUAGAGUCUCUGCUGCUGUGAAUAAUAUUCUUCAGAAAAUGUAUCGUUGAGAUAAGUUAAGGAUACUUCAAUAUGCACUGGUUGAGUUUAUGUUGGUUUGGCUAGGGGUCGAUUUUGUUUGGCCCCAUCACUUCUGGCAAC